rnacentral:rRNA from 1 species
CGCAAGACCAAAGAGGGGGACCUUCGGGCCUCUUGCCAUGGAUGUGCCCAGAUGGGAUUAGCUUGUUGGUGGGGUAACGGCUCACCAAGGCGACGAUCCCUAGCUGGUCUGAGAGGAUGACCAGCCACACUGGAACUGAGACACGGUCCAGACUCCUACGGGAGGCAGCAUG